rnacentral:rRNA from 1 species
UGAGGAAUAUUGGACAAUGGGUUAGCGCCUGAUCCAGCCAUCCCGCGUGAAGGACGACGGCCCUAUGGGUUGUAAACUUCUUUUGUAUAGGGAUAAACCUACUCUCGUGAGAGUAGCUGAAGGUACUAUACGAAUAAGCACCGGCUAACUCCGAGCCAG